GGAGAGAUGCCGGAGCGGUUGAACGGGGCGCUCUCGAAAAGCGUUGUGCCUUCGGGUACCGUGAGUUCGAAUCUCACUCUCUCCGCCA
rnacentral:tRNA from 1 species